rnacentral:tRNA from 1 species
GUUCUUGUAGUUGAAUACAACGGUGGUUUUUCAGGCCGUAGGUUUCGGUUAAAGUCCGGGCGAGAAUU